UGCUUAUCUUACUUGCCAAUUAGUGGGGGAUAACUCUGGUGCGCCAGAACUAAUACCGCAUUUGUUGCUUCGGCAAUGAAAGGGAAUCGCAAGAUUUUCGCUAAUUGAUAGGGAUAAGUCGUAUUAGUUUGUUGGUGGGGUAAUGGCCUACCAAGACGAUGAUGCGUAGCCGGGCUGAGAGGCUGAUCGGCCACAAGGGAACUGAGACACGGUCCCUACUCCUACGGGAGGCAGCAGUGAGGAAUUUUCGGCAAUGGGGGAAACCCUGACCGAGCAAUACUACGUGAAGGAGGAAGGUCUACGGAUUGUAAACUUCUGUUAGUGCGGAAGAAGGGCUGAAUGCAAGUUCAGCCUUGACGGUACGCACAGAGAAAGCCACGACUAACUACGUGCCAGCAGUCGCGGUAAGACGUAGGUGGCGAACGUUAUCCGGAAUUAUUGGGCGUAAAGGGUGCGUAGGCGGCGGAAUAAGUUAGUGGUGGAAAAUCGGGGCUCAACCUCGUGGAAGUCAUUAAUACUGUUUUGCUAGAGGACAGGAGAGGUUAACGGAAUUCCCUGUGGAGCGGUAAAAUGUGUAGAUAUAGGGAAGAACACCAAUAAGGCGAAGGCAGUUAACUAUUCUGUUCCUGACGUUGAGGCACGAAAGCGUGGGGAGCAAAUAGGAUUAGAUACCCUAGUAGUCCACGCCCUAAACGAUGAGUGCUAGACAUUGGAAACUUGAUUUUCAGUGUCGCUAGAUAACUCGGUAAGCACUCCGCCUGGGUAGUACGCUCGCAAGAGUGAAACUCAAAGGAAUUGACGGGGACUCGCACAAGCACUGGAGCAUGUGGUUUAAUCCGAUGCAACGCGUAGAACCUUACCAAGGCUUGACAUGUUUGGCAAAACUGUGGAAACACAGCGGAGGUUAUCCAAACACAGGUGCUGCAUGGCCGUCGUCAGUUCGUGCCGUGAGGUGUAUGGUUAAGUCCUAUAACGAACGCAACCCUUGGGCUUAGUUGCCAGCAUUCAGUUGGGGACUCUAGGCCGACUGCCUGAGUAAUCAGGAGGAAGGAAAGGAU
rnacentral:rRNA from 1 species